GAUCCGGGCUCAGAACGAACGCUGGCGGCAUGCCUAAUACAUGCAAGUCGAACGAUCACUUCGGUGAUAGUGGCGCACGGGUGCGUAACGCGUGGGAAUCUGCCCUUGGGUUCGGAAUAACGUCGGGAAACUGACGCUAAUACCGGAUGAUGACGAAAGUCCAAAGAUUUAUCGCCCARGGAUGAGCCCGCGUAGGAUUAGCUAGUUGGUGGGGUAAAGGCCUACCAAGGCGACGAUCCUUAGCUGGUCUGAGAGGAUGAUCAGCCACACUGGGACUGAGACACGGCCCAGACUCCUACGGGAGGCAGCAGUAGGGAAUAUUGGACAAUGGGGGCAACCCUGAUCCAGCAAUGCCGCGUGAGUGAUGAAGGCCUUAGGGUUGUAAAGCUCUUUUACCAGAGAUGAUAAUGACAGUAUCUGGGGAAUAAGCCCCGGCUAACUCCGUGCCAGCAGCCGCGGUAAUACGGAGGGGGCUAGCGUUGUUCGGAAUUACUGGGCGUAAAGCGCACGUAGGCGGCGAUUUAAGUCAGAGGUGAAAGCCCGGGGCUCAMCCCCCGGAACUGCCUUUGAGACUGGAUUGCUAGAAUCUUGGAGAGGCGGGUGGAAUCCCCAGUGUAGAGGUG
rnacentral:rRNA from 1 species